CGAAUGUAACCCAGUGNAUUAAGGCAGUG
rnacentral:tRNA from 1 species